rnacentral:rRNA from 1 species
AGUUUGAUCAGUGGACUCGAGGACGAACGCUGGCGGCGUGCUUAACACAUGCAAGUCGAACGGAAAGGCCUCUUUCGGGGGGUACUCGAGUGGCGAACGGGUGAGUAACACGUGAGUAACCUGCCCUUGACUUUGGGAUAACUUCGGGAAACUGGGGCUAAUACCGGAUAGGAGCUCCUGCUGCAUGGUGGGGGUUGGAAAGUUUCGGCGGUUGGGGAUGGACUCGCGGCUUAUCAGCUUGUUGGUGGGGUAGUGGCUUACCAAGGGCUUUGACGGGUAGCCGGCCUGAGAGGGUGACCGGCCACAUUGGGACUGAGAUACGGCCCAGACUCCUACGGGAGGCAGCAGUGGGGAAUAUUGCACAGUGGGUGGAAGCCUGAUGCAGCAACGCCGUGUGCGGGAUGACGGCCUUCGGGUUGUAAACCGCUUUCGCUCAUGACGAAGCUUUGUGUGACGGUAGUGGGUAAAGAAGCACCGGCUAACUACGUG